GUACACAAAAAUGCACAUACUGUGAGCUCGAUGAGUAGGGCGGGACACGUGGUAUCCUGUCUGAAUAUGGGGGGACCAUCCUCCAAGGCUAAAUACUCCUGACUGACCGAUAGUGAACCAGUACCGUGAGGGAAAGGCGAAAAGAACCCCGGCGAGGGGAGUGAAAAAGAACCUGAAACCGUGUACGUACAAGCAGUGGGAGCCUCUUAAUGGGGUGACUGCGUACCUUUUGUAUAAUGGGUCAGCGACUUAUAUUCUGUAGCAAGGUUAACCGAAUAGGGGAGCCGAAGGGAAACCGAGUCUUAACUGGGCGUUAAGUUGCAGGGUAUAGACCCGAAACCCGGUGAUCUAGCCAUGGGCAGGUUGAAGGUUGGGUAACACUAACUGGAGGACCGAACCGACUAAUGUUGAAAAAUUAGCGGAUGACUUGUGGCUGGGGGUGAAAGGCCAAUCAAACCGGGAGAUAGCUGGUUCUCCCCGAAAGCUAUUUAGGUAGCGCCUCGUGAAUUCAUCUCCGGGGGUAGAGCACUGUUUCGGCAAGGGGGUCAUCCCGACUUACCAACCCGAUGCAAACUGCGAAUACCGGAGAAUGUUAUCACGGGAGACACACGGCGGGUGCUAACGUCCGUCGUGAAGAGGGAAACAACCCAGACCGCCAGCUAAGGUCCCAAAGUC
rnacentral:rRNA from 1 species